rfam:Lupinus angustifolius cultivar Tanjil chromosome LG01, whole genome shotgun sequence.
GCGCAUAGAUGUUCUUCUCGUAGUGCCCCAUUCUCUCUCCUUGUCUUUUUCCCCUUAGACUUCUCCAAAAGGGUCUUGUAGGAUUGAUCCAGACUGACAACCCGCCUGGCCGAUCUAUCAAUGACUAGGAAGAAGCUUCACUGAAACAAUGGAGAGGUCUGAACCGACUAAUGAUGAAAAAUCAAUGGAUGAGUUGUGUUUAGGGGUGAAAUGCCACUUGAGCCCAAAGCUAGAUGGUUUUCCCUUAAAAUGUGUUGAGCAACAAUAGUUUUCUGAACAUAUAGGGAUAAAAUAAUGUUGCAGUGGGGCUGCAAGAGCAUUACCAAAUUGAGGCAAACUCUGAAUACUAGAUAUGACCUCAAAAUACCAAGGGUCAAGGUCGGACAGUGAGACAAUGAGGGAUAAGCUUCUUUGUCGAGAGGGAAAUGACCCUGAUCACUAGCUAAGGACCCUAAAUAACCACUUAGUGAUAAAGGAGGUAGGGGCGCAGAGACAACGAUGAGGUUUGCUUAGAAGCAACCACCCUUGAAAGUAUGUGUAAUAUCUCACUAAACGAGCGCUCUUGUGCCGUAGAUGAAUGGGCUAAAUGGUAUGCCGAAGCUAUGGGAUGUAAAAAUUUAUUGGUAGGGGAGCGUUCCACGUUAGAGGGAAGAACCUGCACGAGCAGUGGUGGACAAAGCGGAAGCAAGAAUAUCCGC